rnacentral:lncRNA from 1 species
UGCGGCCGUCCAUGGGUCGAAGCUAAUUGUGUGUGUGGAGCUAAAAUAGGCGGUGCACGGCAUAAAGCUCUCGAAGGCAAUGUUGCGGAUGACGGAGUGGAUCGCACAUUAUUAGGACAUUGUCUGGGUGAUUAUCGUAAUCGACAGAUCGGUGCAACACCGGAGAGGUCCUUAAAAGCUGCACAAUGUGCUAUGUUGAAGUUCUUGCUUCAUCUUACGAUGUACAUAGGAUGCGGGCAUGGGCUACAGGACAUUUGCGCGAUGAUAACACCAGAAAUUGAGCUGAAUGAUGUAUAUCAAUUCCUUAGGGGACACAUUCUGAGAGAUAUUGAGGAUGUGCAGUUGACACUUUCCGUAAAUGUAGACGAAACGUUUUUACUUACCCACUGUAUGAUUGACAUGGUUUUGAGGCGGC